rnacentral:tRNA from 1 species
GAGGAUAUAGCUCAAGUGGUAGAGCACAUACUUAGCAUGCACAAGGUCCUGGGUUCAAUCCCCAGUACCUCCU